rnacentral:rRNA from 1 species
CCUACGGGCGGCAGCAGUGAGGAAUAUUGGUCAAUGGGCGGGAGCCUGAACCAGCCAAGUCGCGUGAGGGAAGAAGGUCCGAUGGAUUGUAAACCUCUUUAGGCGGGGAGCAAUGCCGGGCAAGCGUGCCCGGAGGGCGAGUACCCGCAGAAUAAGCAUCGGCGAAAUCCGUGGCAGCAGCCGCGGUAAUAAGGAGGAUCCGAGCUUUAUCCGGAUGUAGUGGGUUUAAAGGGAGCGUAGAUGGGGUGUUAAGUCAGUUGUGAAAGUUUGCGGCUAAACCGUAAAAUUGCAAUCGAUACUGGCAGUCUUGAGUACAGUUGCGGUAGGCGGAAUUCGUGGUGUAGCUGUGAAAUGCUUAGAUAUCACGAAGAACUCCGAUUGCGAAGGCAGCUUACUAAACUGCCACUGACAUUGAUGCUCGAAAGUGUGGGUAUCAAACAGGAUUAGAUACCCCAGUAGUC